rnacentral:rRNA from 1 species
UACGAAGGUGGCAAGCGUUGUUCGGAUUUACUGGGCGUACAGGGAGCGUAGGCGGUUGGAUAAGCCCUCCGUGAAAUCUCCAGGCUUAACCUGGAAAGUGCAGAGGGGACUGUUCAGCUAGAGGAUGGGAGAGGAGCGCGGAAUUCCCGGUGUAGCGGUGAAAUGCGUAGAGAUCGGGAGGAAGGCCGGUGGCGAAAGCGACUUCCUGGACCAAUACUGACGCUCAGGUGCGAAAGCGUGGGGAGCAAACAGG